rnacentral:rRNA from 1 species
UACGGGGGGAGCAAGCGUUGUUCGGAUUUACUGGGCGUAAAGGGUGCGUAGGCGGGUUUUUAAGUCAGAGGUGAAAUCCUGGAGCUCAACUCCAGAACUGCCUUUGAUACUGAGAAUCUUGAGUUCGGGAGAGGUGAGUGGAACUGCGAGUGUAGAGGUGAAAUUCGUAGAUAUUCGCAAGAACACCAGUGGCGAAGGCGGCUCACUGGCCCGAUACUGACGCUGAGGCACGAAAGCGUGGGGAGCAAACAGG